ACAUUGCAAUUGAUAUAAAAGUGCCUUUUACCGUACCACCAUUACUUGUACUGAAAUUAUUGACCAUUUUAUUUUAUAACUUCUUACAUACCUAGGUUCUGCAUUUUGCUGCAGGUGAUGUUUGAGCAACCAAAGGAAAGGAUGCUGAGGAAGGAAAAGACCAACACACAGAGCCAAGAACUGCAAUCCCUAAAAGGGAUUAAAGAAAGUUAAAUACGGUGAUUUCUCAAAAGAAAAAUCAAUGAGAGAGCUUUUGAAAAAGUGCAUUAGUCAAUCAACACACAGAAUUUGAUCUAUAAUCUCAGCAUGGGUCCUAAAGAUUGCCGCUGGUGGAUGCUGAUUCCCAUUUUCUCAUUUAUCUGUGUUGCAUUAUACAAAUCCAAAGGGAAUCUCACCUCGUUUCAUGGCCCGUGGACUGCUUGGACUACUGCCUUUGCGAGAGUCUGAUCCUGUCAAUGAAGUCCUGGAACUUCCU